UACGUAGGUGGCAAGCGUUGUCCGGAUUUAUUGGGCGUAAAGCGAGUGCAGGCGGCUCAAUAAGUCUGAUGUGAAAGCCUUCGGCUCAACCGGAGAAUUGCAUCAGAAACUGUUGAACUUGAGUGCAGAAGAGGAGAGUGGAACUCCAUGUGUAGCGGUGGAAUGCGUAGAUAUAUGGAAGAACACCAGUGGCGAAGGCGGCUCUCUGGUCUGUAACUGACGCUGAGGUUCGAAAGCGUGGGUAGCAAACAGG
rnacentral:rRNA from 1 species